rnacentral:tRNA from 1 species
CUGUAGCUCAAUGGACAGAGCGUCGGUCUUCUAAACCGCAGGUUGCUGGUUCGAGUCCAGUCAGG